rnacentral:rRNA from 1 species
CGGUAAUACGGAGGGUGCAAGCGUUAAUCGGAAUUACUGGGCGUAAAGCGUGCGUAGGUGGUUUUUUAAGUCAGAUGUGAAAGCCCCGGGCUCAACCUGGGAACUGCAUUUGAAACUGGCAAACUAGAGUAUAGGAGAGGAAAGUGGAAUUUCAGGUGUAGCGGUGAAAUGCGUAGAUAUCUGAAGGAACAUCAAUGGCGAAGGCAGCUUUCUGGACUAAUACUGACACUGAGGUACGAAAGCGUGGGUAGCAAACAGGAUUAGAUACCCUGGUAGUCCACGCCGUAAACGAUGACAACUAGCCGUUGGGGGGAUUUACCCCUUAGUGGCGAAGCUAACGCGUUAAGUUGUCCGCCUGGGGAGUACGGCCGCAAGGCUAAAACUCAAAGGAAUUGACGGGGACCCGCACAAGCGGUGGAGCAUGUGGUUUAAUUCGAUGCAACGCGAAGAACCUUACCUGGUCUUGACAUACACGGAACUUUCCAGAGAUGGAUUGGUGCCUUCGGGAACCGUGAUACAGGUGCUGCAUGGCUGUCGUCAGCUCGUGUCGUGAGAUGUUGGGUUAAGUCCCGUAACGAGCGCAACCCUUAUCCUUAUUUGCCAGCACAUCAUGGUGGGAACUAUAAGGAGACUGCCGGUGAUAAACCGGAGGAAGGCGGGGACGACGUCAAGUCAUCAUGGCCCUUACGACCAGGGCUACACACGUGCUACAAUGGGAAGGACAAAGGGUUGCUAAGCCGCGAGGUGGUGCUAAUCUCAUAAACCUUUUCGUAGUCCGGAUCGGAGUCUGCAACUCGACUCCGUGAAGUCGGAAUCGCUAGUAAUCGUAGAUCAGAACGCUACGGUGAAUACGUUCCCGGG